rnacentral:rRNA from 1 species
GAUGAACGCUGGCGGCGUGCCUAAUACAUGCAAGUCGAGCGAACAGACGAGGAGCUUGCUCCUCUGACGUUAGCGGCGGACGGGUGAGUAACACGUGGAUAACCUACCUAUAAGACUGGGAUAACUUCGGGAAACCGGAGCUAAUACCGGAUAAUAUAUUGAACCGCAUGGUUCAAUAGUGAAAGACGGUUUUGCUGUCACUUAUAGAUGGAUCCGCGCCGCAUUAGCUAGUUGGUAAGGUAACGGCUUACCAAGGCGACGAUGCGUAGCCGACCUGUGAGGGUGAUCGGCCACACUGUAACUGAGACACGGUCCAGACUCCUACGGGAGGCAGCAGUAGGGAAUCUUCCGCAAUGGGCGAAAGCCUGACGGAGCAACGCCGCGUGAGUGAUGAAGGUCUUCGGAUCGUAAAACUCUGUUAUUAGGGAAGAACAAAUGUGUAAGUAACUAUGCACGUCUUGACGGUACCUAAUCAGAAAGCCACGGCUAACUACGUG